rnacentral:rRNA from 1 species
GGAAUUUUCCGCAAUGGGCGAAAGCCUGACGGAGCAAUACCGCGUGAGGGAUGACGGCCUGUGGGUUGUAAACCUCUUUUCUCAAGGAAGAAGUUCUGACGGUACUUGAGGAAUAAGCAUCGGCUAACUCUGUGCCAGCAGCCGCGGUAAUACAGAGGAUGCAAGCGUUAUCCGGAAUCACUGGGCAUAAAGCGUCUGUAGGUGGUUUGGUAAGUCUGCUGUUAAAGACUGGGGCUCAACCCCAGAAAAGCAGUGGAAACUGCCAGACUUGAGUGUGGUAGAGGUAGAGGGAAUUCCUAGUGUAGCGGUGAAAUGCGUAGAUAUUAGGAAGAACACCAAUGGCGAAAGCACUCUACUGGGCCAUAACUGACACUCAGAGACGAAAGCUAGGGUAGCAAAUGGGAUUAGAUACCCCAGUAGUC